rnacentral:lncRNA from 1 species
GGAUUAUUUUUACAAGAGUGUUGUAAAGUCAAUGCCGGCCAAGACGAAUGCCUAGCCAAUCCAGAACAGCAUGGCGGCGUGCGACAAAGCG